UGGCUAUCAAGAUAGUGGACCUUACGGUUUAUCUUCCGGGUAUCCAAAUCAACAUCACCAGCCUACUGGAGCCUCCCCUGUACCUAGGGUUCCACCUGGUGCCAUGUAUCCGAAUGUACCUCCUUACUACUGAGGUGUUCCAUCACUUAUUGGCGCAGAUGCUUUAUGUGGUUCUGGUGAUUACGUGAUUGCAGACUAUGUGCUUCUGGUGUGAUGAAUGUAUUAGCCUGUCCAUUUACAGCCACUUUUCUUCAUCUGCACUUAGGCUAUGAUUAAUGAGUUUAGUUAGUCAAAGCUACUGAGUUAGAUUAGUCUUGUACUUUUAAGUUUUGAAUGGGGAAUGUGUUUUUGACAUGUUUUCAUUAAUGUUCAUGACUUCUUAUUUUAGUUACAACUUCCUUUUGAUGUCUGGAAUAUAAGCUAUUCAACAUGGAGGUUGUUUCAGUUUUCUAGGUUAUUCUUUUUUGUUUUUCCCCCUCUUGUGGGGUUAUGUACUGGUGACUUAAGGAUGUCCUCAUGCGGGGACUUUCAUUGUACACAUAUGAGCCGUUAUGUAACCAUAAUAAUGUUAAGGAUUGAUGGUAAUAAUUUCAGUUUGCCUGACAAAUUGUCUUUGGCCAA